GACGUAGGGCGCGAGCGUUGUCCGGAUUUAUUGGGCGUAAAGAGCUCGUAGGCGGCUUGUCGCGUCGAAUGUGAAAACUCGGGGCUCAACUCCGAGCUUGCAUUCGAUACGGGCAGGCUAGAGUUCGGUAGGGGAGACUGGAAUUUACGGUGUAGCAGUGAAAUGCGUAGAGAUCGUAAGGAAGACCAGUGGCGAAGGCGGGUCUCUGGACAGUUCCUGACACUGAGGCACGAAGGCCAGGGGAGCAAACGGG
rnacentral:rRNA from 1 species